rnacentral:tRNA from 1 species
UGCUCCAUGGUGUAACGGCAGCACCGCGCCCUUUGGAGGCGUUUGUCCAGGUUCGAAUCCUGGUGGAGCAG